GACGAAGGACCCGAGCGUUAUCCGGAUUCAUUGGGUUUAAAGGGUGCGUAGGCGGAUUGAUAAGUCAGUGGUGAAAGCCUGUUGCUUAACAACAGAACUGCCAUUGAUACUGUCGAUCUUGAAUAUGUUUGAUGUGGGCGGAAUAUGACAUGUAGCGGUGAAAUGCUUAGAUAUGUCAUAGAACACCGAUUGCGAAGGCAGCUCACAAAGCCAUUAUUGACGCUGAGGCACGAAAGCGUGGGGAUCAAACAGG
rnacentral:rRNA from 1 species